AGGGACACCACUAGUGACCGGCGCCCACUCUGAGUUAAAUCCGUCAAUCACCACUCUUUGUUGUCUGUUGCUCAAGCAGCUCAACCAAUUCGCGAUCCAUUGGUGUACUUGACCGUCAAUACCUAUUUGCUUUAAUUUGUAAAGUAAUUUAUGAUGUGGGACUUUAUCAAACGCUUUCUGGAAAUCAAGAUAGACUACGUCCAGUGAUUUGGUUACGUCAUAAACCGUGAAGAGGUCGUUAUAAAAGGUUAAUAGGUUUGAUAGGCAGAAUCUUUUGUCACGGAAGCCAUGUUGUGAGUCCCCAAUUAAUGAGUGGCUUUCAAGGUAACUCACAAUUUUGUCUUUAAUUAUGCUCUCAAGUAGCUUACCUACAACCGAAGUUAGACUAAUGGGCCUGUAAUUACCUGGUACUUUUUCCUUUCUUAUUAAAAAUCGGUGUCACGUUAGCCCUUUUUCAAUCCGAAGGGACGAUGCCUUGUCGCAAGAACAUAUUGAAUACGGUUGAGAGGGAGGAGAGCAUUUCACUCUUUGUUUCUUUGAGUAGAGUAGGAUAUACUUUGUCAGGUCCAGGACUUUUAUUUGUUUUAAGUGACUGGAGGGCUUUAAGGACUUCAUCGGUUGUUAUUUCAAAGUUAGGCAAUGCAUGCUCGGGAUUUACAUUAGGACUGGUGUUGGUGAUAGUGGUGGGAGGACUGUUAGUAUUAAUUCCAUAAUGCCCAGAAGAUAAACAAAGCCGUCCCAGCACUAUUUCGACAACAGGCUUCGUGGUAACAGGUAGGUCGUUGAUGAAACUCGCAUAUUUAUCUUUAUUAUUGCAAUGUGGGGUCCACGUGGACCCGGGGUUACCUUUGAUGUAGCAAAUAGGUUACGAGGAAACGAAGAUGUAGAAAUAUUUAUCACGCGAUGUAAGAAAAUUGUGGUGAUGUAUUGGGGUCCAUUGUGUUGGUAGAAGGUUGGCGGACAUUUUCAUGUUGUGGUAAAUGCAGUAUGAUUCUAUUUAGGUUAUUUUCUCUCCUUUUGCUUGAGAUAUUCUUCAGUGCAAGCAUGUCACGAGCUAGAUGUUAUAGUGAUGGUGAGCUGAGUAGCCUUAUGAAGUCCUCCUGGUUCCCCCGUGAGCUGGAGGAGGCAGGAAUAACGUCGGAUGCCGAGUUGGAGGAAAACGAGGGGAGUGGUCGCCCCCCCAAUGCCACCACCCCAACUCAGCCUCCCCACCGCCAACAACAAGAUACUGGUGAUGCUUUCGGCUGUGAGGAACACCAUAUGCCUGUACUUUGACCUUCAGCCACCAGCUCCAGCAGAAGAGGAGGAGGAGGAAGGCCCUCGUAAGAACAAGAGGUGUGCUCUAUGCCCCUAUUCAAGGUCGCAGACGAAGGUCCGGAGUGUCUGUGGCAUCUGCAAGAAUCACACCUGUCCACGUCACAUGACUAUGGCGUGUGAGAGCUGCAAAGACAUUCUAUAGAACACACCUCUGAUUGUUGCCUGUGGAUAUGCUAGCUGUCGGGUGGUUUGUAGAGAGGAAGACACCAACUUCCAGGAUUUCCAUGUCCCGACGCCCAUCGAUCUACACUUAAUUAUUUUUAUAUAUUCUUUUUACCAAAUUAUCGUUUUUGUAGUAAAUUUUCACAAAUAAUAUAUUUUAAAUUUUUUAUAACAAUAAUAAAGUACAUUUUUGCUUCAAACAUAGUUUCAGUCUAUUCCUAACAUCAUAUUCUUAAUAUUGAAUAGCAUUAACUCUACAGGAUACAGGUAUGCAUAUGUUAUUUUUGGUGAUUUACAGAGGGGGUCCGGUUGGGUUACCUUCAGAGCCACCGCUAAACAGGGUUACCUUUCUAGGGUUUGGGGUGACAUGGGAUGGAGCACUUUUAGGGAAGGAUUAGUGAAGGCAACCUUGAGAUAUAAAGUGAGACUGGAGCGAAUGGAGGAUACAAGAUUAGCAAGAAAAGUAUACUUGUGGAAUAUAAGAGAUGGCAAAUGGGCGAAUAAAUGUGGGCGACUGCGAUGAUAGACAGGAAUGUUGCGCUAAGUAGGUGGGUGUACCGACCCCUUGAAGAUAGGCAGAAUGUGUUUGAAUGGAGAAUAACAAACAGAAAUGGAGAGGGGUUUGAGUGGGAUGUAAGAAAGUGGAAGAAUGUGAUAGAUAUGGCAGUUAAAGAUGAGGGAUUGAGCAAGUGGAAGAAUGAGAUGGAAAGAAAGGAAACUCUCGACUGGUAUAGGGAGAAAGAGGCCCCAAAGUGUGAGGUGUGGUAUGAGGGAAGCCUGGGAGGUGAUCUUCUUUUCCGUGCUAGAGCGCAGUGUCUGGAUGUGAAUGCAAGGAACUAUAGAUGGUCUGAGUCCCGCAGCAAAGUAUGCCAGAUGUGUGACAGGGGUGUGGACGAGACUGUGCAGCAUGUAGUGCUGGAAUGCAAGAAGUAUGACAGGGAGAGAACGAAGAUGAUGCAUGUGUUUUUGAGCGAGAUGGGACGUGAUGUAAACGGGAGGACUGGAAGGGAGUGGAUGGUGCUGCUGCUGCAGGGGCUCAGUGGAGAGACGAGUGGACGAGUGAUUGAGGCAGUGAAAGAGUUCUUGGAGGGCAUGUGGCGUGAAAGAUGUAGGGAAUGAUAUCUUGCCCCGAGAACAUUGACUUCCCGCAUGUUUUGUUUUCUUUUCACAGGAGAUGCCGAUAUAAAGGCCUGGCUAGGGAGAAAUCCCGAGCCACCUGUGACAUCAAGAUCAAGAUCAAGAUCAAGAACAGACGUGUGUGUGAGCGGCUCGUUUAGGAACUCCGUCUGCCCUGCUGCAGUGUUGUUGGGUGUGCUGGCCUUUGCCUCCCUCCCCCCUGCUGCCACCAUGCUGAGAAAGGACUGAGAGAGAAGCAGACGGCCCAUGAAGUGAUACAAGGCGACAGAUGUGGCAACAAGAGGAAGGUUGUCGCUGCUGCACACUAUCGGAGGCAGGGUGUGCUGGCCUGUGCCUCCCUCCCCCCUGCCGCCACCAUGCUGACAGACAGAAGCAGACGGCCCAUGAAGUGAUACAAGGCGACAGAGGUGGCAACAAGAGGAAGGUUGUCGCUGCUGCACACUGUCGGAGGCAGGGUGUGCUGGCCUGUGCCUCCCUCGCCCCCUGUUCCCACCGGGACUGACUUGGAGUGGCCGUGGCAGUACAGUUUCCUGACGUUCUUCACAAAGGGUUCUUCAGGCGCGAGAGGCUGGAGGAGAUGAAGGCACACCGGGCGAUGCUGCAGCGUGCCCCCACCGGCGUCAGUAACCCAGCAGCCAUCGGGGAGCAGAGCCACAGCCGCCAGCCGCCGGUGUACGUACUGCCUGUGUUGGGCUGGCCGGGUUAUCGUAGACACAGCGCCACGCCAAAGAUUCCCAAGUGUUGUAGUGACGUGUAAGUCUGUAUGGCGUUGGUGCAGUGUAGAGCAGUGAAGUGUAGUGUGGUGUUGUGCGUCCUCUUGCGCUGAAGGAAGAGUGACUUGAACCUUUUGAUCUGGUCCUGAACUUUUGAUUUUGCCGUGACCUUCAACAUUUUGUGUUUUGUUUACAAGUGGCGUGGAUAUGCCAUUCUUUGUGACCAGUGCUAGUGACACUUGUUAGGCUGCUUGAAUAAGAAAUGAACACUUGAGACUUGCCGCCCCUUCUUCUGUGAUCCGUGUCUUUGCCCUCGUCAAGGUGGAGGAAAGGCGUUUGGUACCAAGAGUCUUGUUGGUGCAGUUGAACUCGGUAUUCUGAGAUGUUCCGCCUCCCACAUAAGCUACAGGAACUCACUGAGCUAUGGCUUACAGCCAGUGCUAUUAGUAAUUCAGUACCCUCUUGAGUUUCGCACUAUCUGAGUUUAGUGAUCCUCGAGUAUAGCGCUUAGUCCUAAAUUCUUACCAUCCCGACUUUCGCGCAUUACCGCCACGAGUUUUGUGCUGCUUUGACAUGUACGGGUCACGUCUACCUACCGUCAGCGUCAUGCAUGCUGCCUUAAAAGGCGGUGUCCAACCAUUGGGGCUAUGGGCAACCGCUGUUGCCCGUAUGCCCAACCGGGAGCGAGUUGUUGGUUAUCCGUAUGAAUGGAAAACGGUU